rnacentral:rRNA from 1 species
CAUGCAAGUCGAACGGAGUCUGCAUGAAACCUAGUGAUUGUAGACUUAGUGGCGGACGGGUGAGUAACGCGUGGGUAACCUGCCUUGUACUGGGGGACAACAGUUGGAAACGACUGCUAAUACCGCAUAAGCGCACAGCUUCGCAUGAAGCAGUGUGAAAAACUGAGGUGGUACAAGAUGGACCCGCGUCUGAUUAGCUGGUUGGUGAGGUAACGGCUCACCAAGGCGACGAUCAGUAGCCGGCCUGAGAGGGUGAACGGCCACAUUGGGACUGAGACACGGCCCAAACUCCUACGGGAGGCAGCAGUGGGGAAUAUUGCACAAUGGGGGAAACCCUGAUGCAGCGACGCCGCGUGAGUGAAGAAGUAUUUCGGUAUGUAAAGCUCUAUCAGCAGGGAAGAAAGAAAUGACGGUACCUGACUAAGAAGCCCCGGCUAACUACGUGCCAGCAGCCGCGGUAAUACGUAGGGGGCAAGCGUUAUCCGGAUUUACUGGGUGUAAAGGGAGCGUAGACGGCAUGGCAAGUCUGAAGUGAAAUGCCAGGGCUUAACCCUGGAACUGCUUUGGAAACUGUCUAGCUAGAGUGCAGGAGAGGUAAGUGGAAUUCCUAGUGUAGCGGUGAAAUGCGUAGAUAUUAGGAGGAACACCAGUGGCGAAGGCGGCUUACUGGACUGUAACUGACGUUGAGGCUCGAAGGCGUGGGGAGCAAACAGGAUUAGAUACCCUGGUAGUCCACGCGGUAAACGAUGAAUACUA